rnacentral:misc_RNA from 1 species
CAUCAACUGCAUCAUUCAUACAAAUUUGCUUGCUCAAUUCAGCAAAGAAAGGAAGAAGUACAAAAAUCUAGGUCAAUGAAUGAUAUUUCUAGGACAAGCUGAUGGCAAUUAUUAAGAUUUUGACAGACAGAAGACGAGUGCCUUGGCAUAAAGUAGCUCGUAGACUUGAAACAGUUGCAAGCUCAUACGGUUAUGCUGAAGGCUCUUCACUUAUUUAGCACGCUAACAUUAAUCCUCUCAUUCAUUCAUUCAAUUGCUCAAGCUCAGCCUUCAAUUGCUCAAUCUUAAGCCCCAUAGACCUUUGAAUCACCCCCUUUUCACUCUCUGUCACCUUUCCCAACAACCCUUGAUACAAAUCAAGAACUUCCUUAACAGCAUCACGAGCACAUUCAGCUUCUUCAUUAAAAUACACAGUCUCUUUAGAUUCCAUAGCUGAUUCAAUCUCCUCUCUUGCCUCUGCAAACUUGAGAUUGAUUUUAUCAACUUCCCUGUCAGUGUCAACACUAUAUCGCCUUAAAUUCUGAAAGUUUACGAGCUGGGUUGAUGAAUUUGAACUCGUCGGACCAAGAAAAUGUCGGGUUUUCGUGAGGUUGAAGGAUGAAUUUGAGAGAGAUGUACGAGUUCUUAUGGAAAAAUAAGAUUUGGGUAUUGUUGAUUUCUCAAAAGAGUGUCUGAGAAGCGAUUUACAGAGAGAAAUUGAUGAACGUCGAUGCAUUUUGAUUGAACAAGCAAGAAAAUGGUUUCUGG